rnacentral:rRNA from 1 species
GCUCGUAGUCGAAUUUCGGACUUGGCUUACCGGUCUACCUUAUGGUCAGUACUGGUGAAGCUGUGUCUUACCUUCUGGGGAACGUUUGUGCUCUUUAUUGAGUGUGAUCGGGAACCAGGACAUUUACUUUGAAAAAAUUAGAGUGUUUAACACAGGCUUAUGCUUGAAUACAUUAGCAUGGAAUAAUGAAAUAGGACUUUGGUUCUAUUUUGUUGGUUUCUAGGACCAAAGUAAUGAUCAAUAGGAACAGUUGGGGGCAUUAGUAUUGAAACGUUAGAGGUGAAAUUCUUGGAUCGUUUCAAGACUUACUACUGCGAAAGCAUUUGCCAAGGAUGUUUUCACUGAUCAAGAACGAAAGUUAGGGGAUCGAAGACGAUCAGAUACCGUCGUAGUCUUAACCAUAAACUAUGCCGACUAGGGAUCAGUGGAUGUUAAUUAUUGACUUCAUUGGCACCUUAUGAGAAAUCAAAGUUUUUGGGUUCCGGGGGGAGUAUGGUCGCAAGGCUGAAACUUAAAGGAAUUGACGGAAGGGCACCACCAGGAGUGGAGCCUGCGGCUUAAUUUGACUCAACACGGGAAAACUCACCAGGUCCAGACAUAGUAAG